rnacentral:rRNA from 1 species
CAACGCCGCGUGGGGGACGAAGGCCUUCUGGGUUGUAAACCCCUUUCAGCAGGGACGAUGAUGACGGUACCUGCAGAAGAAGCCCCGGCCAACUACGUGC